rnacentral:lncRNA from 1 species
CCCAAGUUUCUUAAUAAUAUGAAAUAGUUUAGCAUGUAAAUCACGCUUAUACUAUAUGCAUUUACAUAAACUUGGAAAUGAUGGGAUUUCAUGUGGUAUGUACAAAAAUAUGUUAAUUUAAGUAUAUAUAACUUGCAUCACUAUUCUUGUUUUGUAUAGUCACAAAUUGUCAAUUUGAAAAAAAAAAUACAGGGCACACAUGAUAUACCAUGACCAAUAUUUUACCAAGGAAUUGGAAGGAGCUCUACCUUUCGGUUAGAAUAAAACAUUAUGAUUUUAGAAAUAGACAUUGAUGAGGGCCAAGAAUAAACCAAAAAAAAGUUGCGGCAUGUCUACUCGCCAAAGAAAACACUAAUUUCUCUCCUUGCACAUACUAAUAUUUAAUUACACAUGAUUGUACUAAGACUAUUUUGGGUUUGAGGGUUUUCGACUCACCGAGAGUUUAUUGUCCAGAUCUGCCCUAGAGUUAGGGGCAGGGGUAUGCCCAGACAAUCAUUUACUAUAUCCCGAACAACCUAAAAGCAAGACAAUAAGAUGACAUAAGCAGGCUAUAAGGAUUAGAAUAUUAUAUUCUUGCUUAGUUGGAGGAGAGAGAGGACGAGAGAGAAGAAAAGCGGGCUCUUGAUGAGUAGCCAGCUGCAACACGAGACUCAAGACACUUUAUAAGAUUGUAAGGUGGACCAAAUUACUAUUAAAGUAGUACACAUCUAAAACUUACUAUUGUAUAUGCUGGCUAUUAGGUUGACUCUAUAUGACAUGACAACUCAUUAUAGCCGAUUGUUGGCUGCAUUGUUAACCAUGCUCUAAGAGAAUGGGCAAUCCAUGUAAAGGUGGAAGUAUCUAUCUCGUUCUCUCGAAACAGGCUUCACACCGGAUCAUAGAUAAAGCAACAAAAAACCUAUUGUCUUGUUAUAUAUACUGGCUCACUUCACUACUUUGGAGCAUAUGUGUUUUCCAAUUUUGGUUGCCAACUUCUCUACACCAUCUAGUAUGUGAGCACUCUACUCAUUUGCCACGCGCUGGUGGUAUGUUGGGCACUUUGUCCAUCCACAAAUUGUCAAAUCCUACGCUGUUAGGAUUUUCUCAUUUUUGCUCACUCCAAG